rnacentral:rRNA from 1 species
GACGAACCGUGCGAACGUUAUUCGGAAUCACUGGGCUUAAAGCGCGUGUAGGCGGGACGGCACGUCGGUCGCUGAAAUCCCCCGGCUCAACCGGGGAACGGGCGCCGAUACGACCGGCCUGGAGGGACGUAGGGGGACCUGGAACUUCCGGUGGAGCGGUGAAAUGCGUUGAGAUCGGAAGGAACGCCCGUGGCGAAAGCGAGGUCCUGGACGUCUGCUGACGCUGAGACGCGAAAGCCAGGGGAGCGAACGGG